ACUCCUACGGGAGGCAGCAGUGGGGAAUAUUGCACAAUGGGGGAAACCCUGAUGCAGCCAUGCCGCGUGUGUGAAGAAGGCCUUCGGUUGUAAAGCACUUUCAGUAGGGAGGAAGGUAGUGUAGUUAAUACCUGCAUUAUUUGACGUUACCUACAGAAGAAGCACCGGCUAACUCCGUGCCAGCAGCCGCGGUAAUACGGAGGGGUGCGAGCGUUAAUCGGAAUUACUGGGCGUAAAGCGCAUGCAGGCGGCCUGUUAAGUCAGAUGUGAAAGCCCGGGGGCUUAACCUCGGAAUUGCAUUUGAAACUGGCAGGCUAGAGUCUUGUAGAGGGGGUAGAAUUUCAGGUGUAGCGUGAAAUGCGUAGAGAUCUGAAGGAACACCAGUGGCGAAGGCGGCUCGACUAGGCUCGAUACUGACGCUGAGGUAGCGAAAGUGUGGGGAAGCAACG
rnacentral:rRNA from 1 species